CACGUAGGGGGCAAGCGUUGUCCGGAUUUAUUGGGCGUAAAGAGCGUGUAGGCGGCUUGGAAGGUCAGCUGUGAAAACUCGAGGCUCAACCUCGAGACGUCGGUUGAAACCACCUGGCUAGAGUCCGGAAGAGGAGAGUGGAAUUCCAGGUGUAGCGGUGAAAUGCGUAGAUAUCUGGAGGAACACCGGUGGCGAAGGCGGCAUCCUGGACCGGCAUUGACGCUGAUGAGCGAAAGCUAGGGGAGCAAACGGG
rnacentral:rRNA from 1 species